rnacentral:rRNA from 1 species
GAUUGAACGCUGGUGGCAGGCCUAACACAUGCAAGUCGAGCGGCAUCGAGUGAUCGCAGUUUACUGAGUUCAUGUCGGCGAGCGGCGGACGGGUGAGUAAAGUCUGGGAAUCUGGCCGAAGGAGGGGGAUAACUGCUGGAAACGGCAGCUAAUACCGCAUGAAGUCGCGAGACCAAAGYGGGGGACCUUCGGGCCUCACGCCUUCGGAUGAGCCCAGAUGAGAUUAGCUGGUAGGUAAGGUAAAGGCUYACCUAGGCGACGAUCUCUAGCGGGUCUGAGAGGAUAGCCCGCCACACUGGAACUGAGACACGGUCCAGACUCCUACGGGAGGCAGCAGUGGGGAAUAUUGCACAAUGGGCGAAAGCCUGAUGCAGCCAUGCYACGUGUGUGAAGAAGGCCUCGG